CAGAUGCAGUAGAGGAAAAUAACUAAGAGCACAGAUUUUGGAGCCAUACAGCUUGGGAUACAAUCCCUUCCGUGCUGGAUAAAUGAUCCUGGAAAGGGAUACUGAAAAUCAACAGAAUUUAAUCCCCUUUUUGAGUUUCUUUUCUGGUCAUGAAUCAGAUAUGGUGAAGGAAUAAGAUUUUUGUGUUCACAGAAUCCUCAGAACCUUCAGCCUUUCCAUGAAGUUGAAAUUAGAUCCUCUGUUUUGGUAGCCCUGGCACUUAUUUGCACUUCAUGGGUUUUGGUUAUCUUCAGUUUAAUUGAAGAUGGUGCUUGCAGUUUUUAUUCUUCUCCUUUGUAAAGCAAUGUUUCUGUCUGUUAUAACUGUAUGGAAUAUGUAAUAAAAAAG
rnacentral:lncRNA from 1 species